rnacentral:rRNA from 1 species
CAGCAGCCGCCGCGGUAAUACGUAGGUGGCAAGCGUUGUCCGGAUUUAUUGGGCGUAAAGCGAGCGCAGGCGGUCAAUUAAGUCUGAUGUGAAAGCCCCCGGCUCAACCGGGGAGGGUCAUUGGAAACUGGUUGACUUGAGUGCAGAAGAGGAGAGUGGAAUUCCAUGUGUAGCGGUGAAAUGCGUAGAUAUAUGGAGGAACACCAGUGGCGAAGGCGACUCUCUGGUCUGUAACUGACGCUGAGGCUCGAAAGCGUGGGUAGCAAACAGGAUUAGAUACCCGCGUAGUCCCUGUCUCUUAUAC